ACCCCGAUCCUAACUCCGAUCCUAACUCUCUCAACCGCUCUCAACUUUGCGAAAGGAUGAGAGAGAGAGUAGACUACGAAGAGUAGGCUGUAGCUCCCCAUCUUCACUUUAACCCUACACGGAUCGAAAAGCCAUCGCUGACCAAACCACGGAAAGUGAAUGUCUAACGAAGAUACAACUUGAAACUAACUUUACCAGCCGGAUAUAGCCGGUGUCUCGACUCAAUUUGCCGGGUGGGGAAAUGCACUCUGACUGACGUACAUACACGGACUUCGCAGGUUGCAUAGGCGGCUGCUAUCCAGGUGUAGUGGAGGAAAAUAUUUCUCAGAGAUCUGUGGAGAGAGACAGAAUCCGUUAAUGCAUCAUGUCAUCAGCAGCCUUUGUAAUGCAAGUGAUAAUGAUCAUAUUUUCACUGACUUCUUUUCAACACACUCUGAGCCUUCCAGUCACCACAGUUGCCAAGGAGUCACUGCAGCUCUUUCACUGCAAGCCUGCAGGAUGUGCUGCCAAUGUGGCUAGAGUGUUUUGUGAUGACAAACUCCUUCAGCAUGGCCCCUUUCCAGAUUGCUCAGGACCUCCACAUAUCCAAACAGUGUGUCAGCAUGAUGGCCGUGCAUAUGUUGCCACCUCAGCAGGGACUAAGUGUGAGUUUGAGGAGGAGAACAAGUACAUUCCAACAGAGAAAU